CAGAUAUAAACCGAAUGGUUAGGUGCUAUGUUUGGGACAUAGAUUUAGUUAGUUCGAUUCUAACAUAUCUGA
rnacentral:tRNA from 1 species